rnacentral:rRNA from 1 species
GUGGCGAACGGGUGAGUAACACGUGAGCAAUCUGCCCUUGACUCUGGGAUAACUGCGGGAAACUGUAGCUAAUACCGGAUACUUUCCUCGCUGGGCAUCCAGCGGGGAAGAAAGAAUUUCGGUCAAGGAUGAGCUCGCGGCCUAUCAGCUAGUUGGUGAGGUAAAGGCUCACCAAGGCGACGACGGGUAGCCGGCCUGAGAGGGUGACCGGCCACACUGGAACUGAGACACGGUCCAGACUCCUACGGGAGGCAGCAGUGGGGAAUAUUGCACAAUGGGCGAAAGCCUGAUGCAGCAACGCCGCGUGAGGGAUGAAGGCCUUCGGGUUGUAAACCUCUUUUAGCAGGGAAGAAGCGAAAGUGAUGGUACCUGCAGAAAAAGCACCGGCUAACUACGUGCCAGCAGCCGCGGUAAUACGUAGGGUGCAAGCGUUGUCCGGAAUUAUUGGGCGUAAAGAGCUCGUAGGCGGUUUGUCACGUCUGCUGUGAAAAUCCGAGGCUCAACCUCGGACUUGCAGUGGGUACGGGCAGGCUAGAGUGCGGUAGGGGAGAAGGGAAUUCCUGGUGUAGCGGUGGAAUGCGCAGAUAUCAGGAGGAACACCAAUGGCGAGGGCACUUCUCUGGGCCGUAACUGACGCUGAGGAGCGAAAGCGUGGGGAGCGAACAGGAUUAGAUACCCUGGUAGUCCAC